AUCAGGUGCAGCGUUCUUUGCUAGUCUAUCCACUUUCAAGUCAACAUCUUCUGAGUAAUCACCAUGAACCUCAGUCAACAAACUGUCAAGAAACUCUCAAUAAAUGAUGACAAAUUACUAUUGUAUGAAUAAAGUAGGAUAGUAACAAGAACAAGCUAAGGACAUAGUCCUUCCAUUAUAACAAUCGAAUACCUAUCAUAGGAUCUAAUUUUAUCCUAAUAGUCACCCAUUUUUAUAAAAUAGUAUUAGAUGGAGUGUGAGGAUAUAGAUGACCCACUGAGAUACUUCACCUUCUUUGUUCAUUGUCACUCUAAUUCUAUGAUGAUUUUUCCCCAAUUUAGCUUGUGACAGUACAAAAGCCCUGAUAAUUAACACAUAGGGCUAAAGAAAAACAGAAACCAAUAUAUUUUGAUAAAUAAGAAAUGAAUUAAUACUGAAAACUUCACUAAACUUUGGUAAUGUUUAUCUAUCUUUAGAAUUUGAACUACUAAUUUUUAAAGAUACAACUCAUCCAAAAUCAUAGUAUAAAGAUUAGCAUAAGAAAAUGCGCAUUUUUGCAUUAAUAUCUAACAAUAGAAGAUAUACUGCUUCAGAUGGAUGGAUCCACUAAUAUAAGAAAAAUGCAGGAAACAAUCUAUCUAGAUAGCUUCACGCAGACUCGGUUAAUAUUCAGUUGUAAUCAUCGUAAAUGAAGAGGAGAAAGAUUUAAGUUUGAUUACCCAAACAAAAAAAGAGAUCAGACAGAACAAAUGACAUGCAUGUACGAAAAUCCAGCAAGAAAUUAUUUCAAAAGAAUAAGAAAUGCUUACCUGUAAGUACUCAAGAGUGAGCAAACAAUGCAAGUUGGAGGUAGAAAGAAGUAACCUGGAAACAAAAGGAGCAGAAAGGAACAGUGGCUAUUUAGGAGAAGAAAUUUGGACUAAAAAGAUAAAUUAAAUUGAAUUGAUGAUUCUUCUCAAGUCUUAUUUAGAUGAAAAAACUCCCUGGCAACGUAAAUAUCGACAAAAAUCUAAGAAAGCUUCCCAAUUUUUUCUGAAGAUGCUGGUAUUAAGAGAAUAAAAUGCUAAAAUAGAAGAAAAAAUCACUAAAAUAUAAGAUGCAAACCUAAAACUGAAGAAUAAAACGCUAAUGAGAUGCACUUUUUCAUCAAAAUCUCCCACACAUGCAAAACUAACACAGAAAAUCUAUCAAGAGAAACCAACAAAGAAAUUUGAAGAACACAAUUCAAAUUAAGGAGAAAGAUGUAGGGAGCAAAAUUUGACAGAUGUAAAAGGGACUGACCAUGGUUUUUGAUGUCUUUCUGGCUGAGAAGUCCACCGCCGGGAAGGAGAAAGAAAUUGCAGAGGGAGACCUAUGUUUGCUGAUUCGACUUUUGAGUUUUACCGAGAAUAAGUACACGUGUUAAAUAGUCAGGCCCACAAAAGGCAAUGAAAUCAAUAGCCAAGAAGUACAAACACAUUUACAGUACAACAUAAGUAACUCUUUGUACACUUCCUUAAAGCUGUGUUGGUACCCCCUUGUUCUCUUAUAUAUAGUAGUACUAGAAAACCAUUCAGUCACAAGUCUACCCAUAUCAAAUUCAUCAAAAUUCGACGUCAAAUGACCCUCCAAAUCCUGAAAAAUCAAUUCUCCAAUUUUCUUCCAUUUUCCCCAAUUUUUACCUUAAAUUCUCAAAUUAAAUGAUAAGAAUCAAGACUAGAUUAUGGAAUUUAACCCAAGACAAGUGAAGAGCACUUACCCCAAUUACUCCUUUGAAAAUAUUCUCCAAAUUCACCUAUUCCCGAGCUCUCAAAUGAGUUUUGAAAAUAUGGACUAAACCCUCGUUUUUGAACUUAAAGUUUCUGCCCAGACGCUUCCUUCUUCGCGAACGCGGCCACUACCUCGCGUUCGCAAAGCACAAAAAUCACUGCCCAAUAAUCCCUCUUACGCGAACUUGACACUCUUCACGCGAAGCUUCAGCUGACAAGGCCUUCGCGAACGGGAACGCGAUGCACAAAUUCCUAGGGGGCCCUCAACUGCCUUUCCUCUUCGCGAACGCGGGACAUACUUUGUGAACGCGAAGAGUAACUCACUUGCGCCUCUCAACAUCAUUUCGCGAACGCGAAGAACAAAAUCCCUCUGAAACAGAACCAGCAAAUCCGCAACUCUCUAACACCAAGAAUUGGCCCGUUAACCAUCCGAAACUCACCCGAGGCCCUCGGGGCUUCAACCAAACAAUCAUAACAUCAUUCAAACUUGUUCUAACAUUCGGAACACUCAAAACAACAUCAAAACAUCAAAUCACCCUCGGAUUCAAGCCUAGGUAUUCCAAAAACUUUCAAAUUUCGAAUUCGAUCAAAAAGUCUAUAAAACCUCGUCUGAAUGACCUGAAAUUUUGCACACACAUCCCAAAUGACACCACAAACCUACUCCAACUUUCGGAAUUCCAUUCCGACCCCGAUAUCAAAAUUUUCACUACCAACCGGAAAGCGCCAAAAUUUCAAUUUCGUCAAUUCAAGCCUAAAUCUACCACGGACCUCCAAAUUACAUUCCGAACAUGCUCCUAAGUCCAAAAUUACCACACGAAGCUAUCCGAAACAUAAAAACCAAAUUCUGAGAUUGUUUACUCAAAACUCAACUUCUAGUUGACUUUUCCAACUAAGUGGCCAACUUGAGAGACUAAGUGUCUCAUUCCUCCACAAAAUCAUUCCGAACUCAAACCAAACAACCCGACACCAUAUAAUAUAGCUGAACAAGAUAUAAAGAAGCAGAAAUGGGGGAAACAGGGCUGAAAUACAUAAAACGACCGGCCAGGUCGUUACAAUUCCAUAUGAAAAAUGGAAAGGAAGGAAGUCCAACUUGAAUUAUUUUAAAGUGUGGGGGUGUUUCGCAAAAGUGCAAGUCCCUAAACCCGAAAGGGUAAAAAUAGGAUCGAAAACCAUUGAUUGUGUUUUCAUAGGAUAUGUGACCAAUAAUAAAGCAUAUCGAUUUCUGGUUCAUAAAUAAAAAAAUUCCGACAUUUAUAAUAAUACGGUUAUUGAAUCAGAUAAUAUUGAGUUCUUUGAAAAUAUAUAUCUAUAUAAAAAGGAAUUUGCAUCGAUUGGUGAAGGAUCUAAACGACCUCGGGAAGAAACAAAAGAAAGUGCAUUUAAUCAGGAGGAUCCAAGACGUAGUAAACGUCAAAGAACAUUUACUUCAUUUGGACCAGAUUUUAUGAAUUUCUUAUUGAAAAAUGAGCCUCGAACAUUUAAAGAAGCUAUGUCUUCUUCGGAAUCAUUAUUUUGGAAAGAGGCAGUCAAUACUGAAAUAGAAUCCAUAUUGAAAAACCAUACAUGAGAAUUGGUUGAUCUUCCUCGUGGAAAUAAACCUUUGGGUUCUAAAUGGAUUUUUAAGAGGAAAAUGAAAGAUGAUGGCACUAUUGAAAAAUUUAAGGCAAGACUUGUAGUCAAAGGGUAUAGAUAACGAGAAGGUCUUGACUAUUUUGAUACAUACUCUCCAGUUACAAGAAUUACGUCUAUAUGGAUGUUAGUAGCAUUAGCUGCAGUGUAUGGUCUUGAAAUUCAUCAAAUGAACGUUAAGAUGGCUUUCUUGAAUGGAGAUUUGGAGGAAGUAAUCUACAUAGAACAACCUGAAGGGUUUGUGGUUCUAGGUAAAGAAAAAAAGGUAUAUAGACUUGUUAAGUCCCUUUACGGACUAAAACAAGCACCUAAACAAUGGCAUGCGAAAUUUGACCAAACAAUGUUGUCAAAUGAUUUUAAGAUAAAUGAAUAUGAUAAAUGUGUGUACAUUAAAAAUGUUCCAAAUCACAUAGUCAUUGUUCGCUUAUAUGUGGAUGAUACGCUGAUAAUGAGUAAUGAUAUUGCCAACAUAAAUGCGACUAAGUAUAUGCUAACUAGCAAGAUUGAUAUGAAGGACUUGGGAGUUACUGAUUUAAUUCUGGAGAUUAAGAUCCAUAAGACACUUCAAGGUCUGGCAUUGUCACAAUCUCAUUAUAUUAAGACAAUACUUGAAAAAUUCAAGCACUUAGGGUUUUAAGUUGCAAAGACUCCAAUUGACGUGAAUCUUGCAUUAGAAAAGAACAAAGGCCAAAGCAUAUCACAAUUGGAUUAUGCUCGUAUGUUGGGAUGCUUAAUGUAUAUCAUGGAUUGUACACGACCAUAUAUAGCUUGUGCUAUAAGUAAAUUGAGUCGAUACACGAGCAAUCCAGCUCAAUCUUAUUGGAUGACAAUGAAACGAGUUUUGGGAUAUUUAGAACAUUACCAGGACUUUAAUUCGCACUACAGUAAAUAUCCUACGGUGAUUGAGAGAUACUGUGAUGCAAAUUGGAUCACCGGUUCAGCUGAUUCUAAGCCCACAAGUGGAUAUACACUCACUAUUGGUGGAUGAGCGGUAUCUUAGAAGGCGUCCAAAUAAACUUGUAUUGCCCGCUCUACAAUGGAGUCUGAGUUCAUAGCCUUAGAUAAAGCCGAUGAAGAAGCUGAAUAACUCUGAAAUUUCUUGGAAGACAUUCCAUUUUUGCCCAAACCGUUGGCACCAAUAUGCACACAUUGCGAUAGUUAAGCGACAAAUGGAAGGGUUGGGAGCGUUAUGUAUAACAGUAAAUCUCGUCAUAUACGACAAAGACAUAAAAUCGUUAGGAAACUACUCUCUAGAGGAAUUAUCAUGAUUGACUAUGUAAAGUCAAGUGAUAAUGUGUCAGAUCCACUUACAAAAGGCAUAACUAGAGAGGUAGUUGAGAAAUCAUCGAGAGGAAUGGGACUAUGGCCAAGAACAAGUCAUUGUGGCGCUAACUCUACCUAGAAGACUGGAGAUCCUAAGAUCUAGGUUCAAGUAGAUCAAUCAAAGCCAUUAAUGACGGUUCAACAUUGUCAACUAAAAUUUUGGUCCAUUCUCGUGAUGAGACAAUGUUCAGUACCAAGGAUAAAGUAUUAAGGCUUUUUAAUGAUUUCUAAAUUUGAUAUGGGGUGUCAUACCUCCUUUUUCCUGCACCCCCAGAAGGGAGGUAUAAGGGAGUUUUUCCACUUGAAGUGACAAUCAAAACGAGAUUAUUUUAUUAAAAUUUAGAGUCGCCAUUUGGGAUAAUUUAUGGUGUCCCAAGUCACCGGUUUAGAAUCCCGAAUCGAGGAAAAGAUUGACUCUGUAUUACAGUUUGCGUACCAGAAAUCCGGGUAAGGAAUUCUGUUAACCCGGGAGAAGGUGUUAGGCACUCCCGAAUUCCGUGGUUCUAGCACGGUCUCUUAAACUAUCAUAAUUGGCCUAUUGUCUGAUUUUAAUACAUGUUUAGCCUAUGGUUCAAUUUUAAAUUAUUAACCGCUUUUAAUUAAUUAUUUUUUAGGAAAGAUUCAACGUCAUCUAGAAUACAUCUUGAACCACGUCACAUAAAUGCACCCGCGGUCCACGACACAUUUUAUCAAACGUUGUUGAGAUUUGGAUUUGGGUCACAUAAAUGCACACCCGAGUUUAAGGAAAUUGAUUUAAAUUAUGCGCCUAAAGCAACUACGCAUUUUCAACUUUGCGAGGGCCAUGGAAAAUUCAACUAAAUGGCACACCUCGAUUUCUAAAGGGUUAAAAUUAAUUCAGUGAGGGCCAUGAGUUUUGAUGAUUUUAUUUGGCAUGGUGCGCCUCAAUUUAUUCAAGGAAAAGCAAUUAGUUAAACUACAUAUAUUUAUUUUUACAACUAAUUAAUUUAGGUAUCACAACCAUGCCACGGGAACCGUACUCAUAGUUGCAAUGAUUUAUUUAUUAAUCGUCCCUAAAUGUUCAAAAGAAAAAUCGUGCACAGAGACACCUUCAAAGAGGAAUCCAAUUCCAGAAAGGUUCUUGCCAUCAACAUUAAAAAGCUUAUAUUUUGUUAAUUUUGGAAAAUAUUGCAUGCAGAGUAGACAGAUUUGGUCACUUUCACUUGCCAUCUUAUUUUGUUUGUGUGCAAGUCCAGAUUUGCAAAACUAGACAUAUAACCCACAAGAACAAAGAUACCCAAUCAAAAAUUUCAAUCCAUAGAGUGAUUUGUCAAUAUCACAUCUACAAACUAAAAUGAUUACAAAAAUCAACAAGAGCCCAGAAUUAAGAAAAAUAUAUUAACAAUACAUAUUCUCACCGGAAUGCCAGUACUUCAACAGUGCACAAAAAUAACAAUUAGAAGCUUCUUCUACUCAAACAAAAAGGAGUGAAAUUCAUAAUUUUAAUUCCAAUAUAAAGUACUCAUAAAAACGUAUUAAAUAAUUAGUACUAAUAGAGGAACUGAUAUUUCAAUAGGAUUCAAGAACUUUAGAAAUUCAAAAUAUAGGGAAGAAUUAAAUGAACAGAGAAUCUCUGUGUAGUUGACAAAGAAACAAAAGACAAAACAGACCAAAUAUAUUUGAACACCCGAAAUUACUUCAAUGAUCAAGCCAAAAUCCAAUUAACACCAUUUAAAUGCUCAACAUAAAAAUAAAAAUUCCUACUACACUAUAACAUAGAUAAGUAAACCAACACUCACAUGUAAACACAAAGAAUACUGAAACAACAUGAAAUUAAAAGUGAGAAAUGAAACCUUUUGUAGCCAAAAUUCCUUCUGAACUUUUAUUAAAAAUAAGCCUUUGAAUACACCCCGAAGUAAAAUCUACAACGAACCCGAACAAGACUCGCGACAGGCGCACUCGAAUGGUGACCUCGACGACCUCGACGAAUUGAAUGUUUUAGGUGAUUUUAGGACGGUUUGGGGCCGGUUUUGAGCUGGGUUUUACAGUUAACUUUGCUACUUUUGGAGCUGAAUUUCAAGCUGGAUUUGAGGUGUUCUUGGAGCUA
rnacentral:lncRNA from 1 species